rnacentral:rRNA from 1 species
UAAUACGGGGGGAGCAAGCGUUGUUCGGAUUUACUGGGCGUAAAGGGCGCGUAGGCGGCCAGCACAAGUCGGUUGUGAAAUCUCCGGGCUUAACUCGGAAAGGUCAACCGAUACUGUGCGGCUAGAGUGCGGAAGGGGCAACUGGAAUUCUCGGUGUAGCGGUGAAAUGCGUAGAUAUCGAGAGGAACACCUGCGGCGAAGGCGGGUUGCUGGGCCGACACUGACGCUGAUGCGCGAAAGCCAGGGGAGCGAACGGGAUUAGAUACCCCGGUAGUCCUGGCCUUAAACGAUGGAUGCUUGGUGUCUGGAGUUUUAUAGUCUCCGGGUGCCGUAGCUAACGCGUUAAGCAUCCCGCCUGGGGAGUACGGUCGCAAGACUG